AUUGAACGCUGGCGGCAGGCCUAACACAUGCAAGUCGAGCGGUAGAGAGGUGCUUGCAUCUCUUGAGAGCGGCGGACGGGUGAGUAAUGCCUAGGAAUCUGCCUAGUGGUGGGGGAUAACGUUCGGAAACGGACGCUAAUACCGCAUACGUCCUACGGGAGAAAGCGGGGGAUCUUCGGACCUCGCGCCAUUAGAUGAGCCUAGGUCGGAUUAGCUAGUUGGUGAGGUAAUGGCUCACCAAGGCGACGAUCCGUAACUGGUCUGAGAGGAUGAUCAGUCACACUGGAACUGAGACACGGUCCAGACUCCUACGGGAGGCAGCAGUGGGGAAUAUUGGACAAUGGGCGAAAGACCUGAUCCAGCCAUGCCGCGCGUGUGAAGAAGGUCUUCGGAUUGUAAAGNACUUUAAGUUGGGAGGAAGGGUAGUAA
rnacentral:rRNA from 1 species